UCAGUAUGCUAUUGUAAAAUGACAAAUAUGCUCAACGACUCUAUUUUCAACGGACAUAUUUUUCAGUAGUUAAAGGAAACAAUUUGAACUGAAGAAGAUGAGGAUGACCUUUCAUCACAUGAUCACAGGAUUAUCGAAAAAUAAGUUUUUCGUUCGUAUGAUAAAAUGACAAUCAUCUGAUCAUUAAAAAAAUACAAAGAAGAACAUUCUCAUAAAUGACUUCAACGUUGUCCUCUCU
rnacentral:lncRNA from 1 species